rnacentral:rRNA from 1 species
GACGAACGCUGGCGGCAUGCCUAACACAUGCAAGUCGAACGAGACCUUCGGGUCUAUGGUCGCCCGGGUUCGUAACGCGUGGGAACCGUCCCUUGGGUUCGGCAUAACUCUCCGAAUGGGGUGCUAAUACGGGAUAAUGUCUUCUGACCGAUGAUUUAUCGCGCUUGAUUGUGCCCUAGUUGGAUUAGGUAGUUGGUAGGCUAAAAGCCUACCAAGGCGACGAUGCAUAGCUUGUCUGAGAGGAUGAUCAGCGACACUAGGACUGAGACACGGCCCAGAAUCCUACGGGAGGCAGCAGUGGGUAAUAGUGGACAAUGGGCGAAAGCAUGAUCCAGCAAUGCCGCGUGAGUGAUGAAGGCAUUAGGGUUGUAAAGCUCAUUUAACCGGGAUGAUAAUGACAGUACCGGGAGAAUAAGCUACGGCUAACUACGUG